UAUCCCCCCCGCCCCCUUUUUUUAAAUGGUGAAAUGCCUAUUCUUAGGAAUAUAAAUAAAAAGUAGUAUUUUAUGUGACUGUUGCCAUAUUCUAGGAAUGGCCUAUGAAGUAAGUGUUUUAAAUUACCUGUUUAUAAAUAUUCUUUACUGUGAAUAGUUGAAUAAAAAAGCUUCCUGUUCCUAUUCUUUUGAGAAUUAAAAAAAAAACACACAGCAGUCCAACUAGUUUCUAAAAUCAGUUUUAGGCUUGAUUAUUUAAUGGUGAGAAAUGUAUGAUUCAACAUACAAAUAUUUGCUUCUAACCCACUUUAUAGAUAUUAAAAGCCAGAAAUGUUAUGAAUCUUUGUUUAGAUGACCGAGGGGUCUUUCCCCAUUGGAACACAAGUGACCAGUAUGUGUCGCAAAUCAUUUAUUUUUCCAAACGUAUAUAAAUACAUUUAUAUUUCACUUUGGCA
rnacentral:lncRNA from 1 species